rnacentral:rRNA from 1 species
GACGAGGGGUCCAAGCGUUGUUCGGAAUCAUUGGGCGUAAAGCGGGUGUAGGUGGCUUUGUAAGUCAGGAGUGAAAUCCCCGAGCUUAACUUGGGAAGUGCUUUUGAAACUGCAGAGCUUGAAUGUGGGAGAGGAUCGUGGAAUUCCAGGUGUAGUGGUGAAAUACGUAGAUAUCUGGAGGAACACCGGUGGCGAAGGCGGCGAUCUGGCCCAACAUUGACACUGAGACCCGAAAGCGUGGGGAUCAAACAGG